CUCUCACUCUCUUCAAACCCACUGUUGACGCUCCUUUCCUGAGCUUAGCAGAUAAUGUAGAUUAUUACUUAAUAUGAAUUGGAUCCCUCAUGAUAUAUGGCCCUCCACUCAAGCCUUCAUCUCCAUCUUACCUAUAUUUCAACAACUCUGAAUAUCCAGCCAAGUGCCUACAUCAUAAAUCACCCUAUGCCUUGACACUCAAUGAUUGGUGCAGAAUGAGUUCCUGGACAUCAAAGCUACAGACAUGACUUCAUGAGCAAGAAUGAACAUGCUUGCUGUGCAUCAGCUUGUAGAUAAUUGCAAAAGAUCAAUAAAAAUAGCUUGCUCU